AUGAACGCUGGCGGCGUGCCUAAUACAUGCAAGUCGAGCGAACAGACGAGGAGCUUGCUCCUCUGACGUUAGCGGCGGACGGGUGAGUAACACGUGGAUAACCUACCUAUAAGACUGGGAUAACUUCGGGAAACCGGAGCUAAUACCGGAUAAUAUAUUGAGCCGCAUGAUUCAAUAGUGAAAGACGGUUUUGCUGUCACUUAUAGAUGGAUCCGCGCCGCAUUAGCUAGUUGGUAAGGUAACGGCUUACCAAGGCAACGAUGCGUAGCCGACCUGAGAGGGUGAUCGGCCACACUGGAACUGAGACACGGUCCAGACUCCUACGGGAGGCAGCAGUAGGGAAUCUUCCGCAAUGGGCGAAAGCCUGACGGAGCAACGCCGCGUGAGUGAUGAAGGUCUUCGGAUCGUAAAACUCUGUUAUUAGGGAAGAACAAAUGUGUAAGUAACUAUGCACGUCUUGACGGUACCUAAUCAGAAAGCCACGGCUAACUACGUG
rnacentral:rRNA from 1 species